rnacentral:rRNA from 1 species
AAUAGAUACCCGGGUAGUCCACGCCGUAAACGAUGGAUGCUAGCUAUUGGGGGGAAUCGACCCCCUCCGAAGCGAAGCUAACGCGUUAAGCAUCCCGCCUGAGUAGUACGAGCGCAAGCUUAAAACUCAAAGGAAUUGACGGGGACCCGCACAAGCGGUGGAGCGUGUGGUUUAAUUCGAUGGUAAACGAAGAACCUUACCAAGGUUUGACAUCCCGGUAGCCGUUCUCCGAAAGGAGAAUUUCAUUUAGUUGGACCGGUGACAGGUGAUGCAUGGCCGUCGUCAGCUCGUGUCGUGAGAUGUUGGGUUAAGUCCCGCAACGAGCGCAACCCUUAUGAUUUAGUUGGAUUUUUCUAAACAGACUGCCCUGGUAACAGGGAGGAAGGAGGGGAUGAUGUCAGGUCAGUAUUUCCCUUACACCUUGGGGCGACACACGCGCUACAAUGGCCGGUACAAUGGGCAGCUAAGCCGCGAGGUGGAGCAAAUCCCAUCAAAGCCGGUCCCAGUUCGGAUUGCAGGCUGAAACCCGCUGCAUGAAGCCGGAAUCGCUAGUAACC